AUAACGAACGCGUCGGCGGCGAUGGCCAUUGAACGUUGGCGGAGGGGCAGAAGGGGAAGGCGAUAACGACGAGUGAGCGUACAAAAGCAUCGAGAACUUAUUAUUGAGACUAAAAAUGCGGCGUGAGAUUUGAUUGUGAGUAAGCGCAAACCAGAGACCAGCCAGGCAGAGGGAACAGCAAACAGCAAGCACACACAGCACAGGCAGAGAGGCCAGGCCAGUCAGCAGAGGAGGAGGGAGAGGCCGUGGAAGGGGCAUGAGUAGAGCUAAAGCGCCGCGCAAAGCAAGGCGCAAAGCAGCGGCAGCAGAGGAGGAAGAAGAAGAAUAAGCAGUGGCGAAGCAGCAGCACACACAAACACACACACACACACACUAAAUAUACAAAAUAAAAGGCACAAGCACACAAAAGCUGAGAGACAUGGACAUGGACUUGGUCACAUAUGCACUGGAACGGAGAGGGGGGAGGCGGGCAGAAAAUGUACACAGGGAAAAGCUAAAGAAUUGUGAAGAAAGGGGGAUGUUGGAAUUGCACGGUGAAGAAGAAAGAAUAACAAGAAGAAGAAUAAAAGAACACACAAAAGGAGAAGAAUAGGAGAAUAUGAGGAAUAGAGUGGAGAAUAUGAAAGAAGUGCUAUCAAAAGGGAAGGAAAAAGAGAGGGAAGAGACAUGGUGAGGUGGAGGCACAGAAGAGCCACAGCGAAGAUUGUGGACAUGCGGAAAAAAAACGUUUAAAGAAGGACAACGAAGAAUAGAAUAGGAAUAUAAGGAAUGGAAGGGAUAGAAGAAAAUUUCAAUGAACGUAGAAGGAACGAAGGAACGACAAAACAUGUGUUAGAAGAAAGAACACAAGAACUGGGCGAAGGAGAACCAGAAGAGGAGAAUGGAAAGGAAUUAGAAACAGCAGAACGAAAGGAAAUAGAAAGCACGGGAAAAUAUGUAAGAAAAAAAAUCAAAUUUCGCGGAAGAAGGCCACAAAAAGAUAACAGAAGGAGGACAAACGAAUGUGGAGAAAGAGAUGAUGGAAAGGGGAAGGUUGGUGGGGCGGAGGGAGGAGUACUACUGCUUUGGGUACAAAGAGAGGAAGAGCACGGUACUAGUGGAGGAAGAAGAAAGCAGUGCGUGGGCUGGCAGGGGAGUAAAACGAAAGCUUAGCAACUGAUAAAACUUUCGAGUGGGGGCGUCUAGCCAGGAAGGGGCGUGGCAGCGCACAUUUUGAAUUUGUUUUGUUCUUGUUCUUCUGCCAUGUUUGUUGCUGUGUCAACACUGAAAAAGUCUGUCGUAUGAGGUAAUCGACGUCUUCGAGUUGCUUUUCUGUUUAUCAAAAUGUUGUACACAAAGCAAAGCGGAGAAAAAGAAGCAGUAAGAAGCAGAGAAAGAUAUCUAAAAGAAUAGCCAAGAAAACAAAAAGUAUGCCGGACAAACGAGACGGCAAAACAAAAUAUUGCCGCAUCUGGAGAAGGAUCUACUGCGCCCAAACUCUAACUUCGAGAAGAAUCCACUGCUUGCCAAAUAAUUACACUAAAGAGGAGUCAACUGCUUUCCGGAAUGCUGGCGUAAAAUGAGAUGAAACCACUGCUUGCCAGAAGAAUCAUUUGCAUUUCCGAAAAAACAUACCACACUGCUAUCAAGAUGGAAUCAACGCUGCAUGUGAAGGUCAAGCCACUGCUUUACAGAAGGAAAACAGGGCGGGGGGUUUUCGGCUUGAAAACAGCCGUAACUGUAUUGUAAUCGAUAAUCGAUGGUGCUGUGAAAUUGAAUCACCGAUGACCGACAAGCAGCUGUUUUUUUUAGGUAGGAUGGCUAUAAAAUCAAUUGAAGUCUAUAUUUUAGACACUACAAAGUGAACCGUAUUCAUGCCUACGUGCACUACUGAUAUCAAAACAAAAAUUCCUACAGAUCUUUCCACCCCCACAAAACGA